GUUCAACCUCACCCUUCCUUGUCUCUCCCGCCUAUAUACCGCCGUCGUCAGCUUACCCUGUGAAGGCCUAAUAGUAAGCAAAAUUGGCACCGCCCAGAACGUCAGGUCGAGGUGUAGCGCAUGAGAGGGGAAGAAAUGGGCUACAUUCGCUAACAUAGCGAAUACGAACGAUGUACUGAAAACGUACAUCUGAAGGAGGAUUUAGCAGUAAGUGGAAAAUAGAGUGUUCCACUGAAAUCGGCUCUGAAGUGCGUACACACCGCCCGUCACUCUCCCCAAGCCCACUAACCCACGUAUCUAAAAUGCUUUAAUCGCGAAGGGGAGGCAAGUCGUAACAUGGUAAGUGUACCGGAAGGUGCACUUGGAAAAAU
rnacentral:rRNA from 1 species